GUGGGGAAUCUUAGACAAUGGGCGCAAGCCUGAUCUAGCCAUGCCGCGUGAGCGAUGAAGGCCUUAGGGUUGUAAAGCUCUUUCAGGGGGGAAGAUAAUGACGGUACCCCCAGAAGAAGCCCCGGCUAACUCCGUGCCAGCAGCCGCGGUAAUACGGCGGGGGCUAGCGUUGUUCGGAAUUACUGGGCGUAAAGCGCACGUAGGCGGACCAGAAAGUCAGGGGUGAAAUCCCGGGGCUCAACCCCGGAACUGCCUUUGAAACUCCUGGUCUUGAGGUCGAGAGAGGUGAGUGGAAUUCCGAGUGUAGAGGUGAAAUUCGUAGAUAUUCGGAGGAACACCAGUGGCGAAGGCGGCUCACUGGCUCGAUACUGACGCUGAGGUGCGAAAGCGUGGGGAGCAAACAGGAUUAGAAACCCGAGUAGUCC
rnacentral:rRNA from 1 species